rnacentral:rRNA from 1 species
UACGUAGGGUGCGAGCGUUAAUCGGAAUUACUGGGCGUAAAGCGUGCGCAGGCGGUUUUGUAAGUCAGAUGUGAAAGCCCCGGGCUUAACCUGGGAACUGCGUUUGAAACUGGGAGACUUGAGUGUGGCAGAGGGGGGUGGAAUUCCACGUGUAGCAGUGAAAUGCGUAGAUAUGUGGAGGAACACCGAUGGCGAAGGCAGCCCCCUGGGUUAACACUGACGCUCAUGCACGAAAGCGUGGGGAGCAAACAGG